rnacentral:rRNA from 1 species
AACUCUUAGCGGUGGAUCACUCGGCUCGUGCGUCGAUGAAGAAUGCAGCUAGCUGCGAGAACUAAUGUGAUUUGCAGGACACAUUAAUUUGUUUGUGUCCUGCAAAUGUGAUUUGUCCUGCAAAUCACAUUUGUGAAUAGGGCGUCU